CUUCAGUGAUGAUAAGAUGACGAGUCAGAACUGGAUGUUUCUUGCUGCUGCACCUCUGCAGUGUCAUGUUCUGUGAUGCUGCCUGUGGUUCUUCAGCAGGAGCAUCCUGUCAGCACUGAAUGAGUGUGAGGCAUUUGUCUGAGAAGG